AAGGAGUCGUCUUCGUAUGCGAGUGUUCGGGUGUAAAACCUCUACGCGUAAUGAAAGUGAAGGCAGGUGAGAGCUUCGGCGCAUCACCGACCGAUCCUGAUGUUCUCGGAUGGAUUUGAGUAAGAGCAUACGGGGCCGGACCCGAAAGAAGGUGAACUAUGCCUGUAUAGGGUGAAGCCAGAGGAAACUCUGAUGGAGGCUCGCAGCGGUUCUGACGUGCAAAUCGAUCGUCAAAUAUGGGCAUGGGGGCGAAAGACUAAUCGAACCUUCUAGUAGCUGGUUUCCGC
rnacentral:misc_RNA from 1 species